rnacentral:ncRNA from 1 species
CAACCUGAACUCAGUCGUGAUUACCCGCUGAACUUAAGCAUAUCAUUUAGCGGAGGAAAAGAAACUAAAAAGGAUUCCCCUAGUAACGGCGAGUGAAACGGGAAGAGCCCAGCGCCGAAUCGAUCAGUCUUUGGCUGCUUCGAAAUGUGGCGUAUAGGUGUAGUCUUCCAGCAGUGUCGUAUGUCCGAAGUCCUUGCGAUUGAGGCCAUAAACCAGAGAGGGUGCGAGCCCCGUUCUGGAUAGCGGCGCUGUUGGUUCGACUGCUCCUUGGAGUCGGGUUGCUUGAAAGUGCAGCCUAAAGUGGGUGAUAAACUUCAUCUAAGGCUAAAUAUUGACUCGAUUGCGAUAGCGAACAAGUACCGUGAGGGAAAGUUGCAAAGGACUUUGAAGAGAGAGUUCAAGAGAACGUGAAAUCGCUGGAGUGGAACCGGAGACAGUUGAUAGUUGCUUGGAGACAAUCUUGGUGGCUGAUCGCUUAGCUGUGAUCGCCGCCGGGAGUCGUUUCCUAUGCUACGCCGACGGCGUUGGCCGCUCGUUCUGGCCCGACAGUGUUGCCCAUCUCGCAAGAGACGGUGUCUUGUUGUCGGUCGUUGGUUCGUGGUGGCUAGCGUUUAGUUACGCUAGUGUGUGUGACGUCGGUGUGAAAGUCGACGACGUUUCCGACCCGUCUUGAAACACGGAUUACGGAGUGUUUGUCUGCUGCGAGUCAAAGGGUGUAAAAACCUUGCGGCGCAAUGAAAGUGAAGGUUAGUCUCGAACUGACCGACGUGGAUCCGUGCUCUUCGGAGUGCGGCGCACCACGGCCCUAUGCGUGUCACUUGUGACUGUGUAGA